GAGGGAUUGGGGGCGGGAGGAGAAGGGGACAACAGAAGAUGAGAUGGCUGGAUGGCAUCACCGACUUGAUGUACAUGAGUUUGAGUAGACUCCGGGAGUUGGUGAUGGACAUGGAGGCCUGGCAUGCUGCGAUUCAUGGGGUCGCAAAGAGUUGGACAUGACUGAGCGACUGAACUGAACUGAACUGAACUGGGAAAUCUUCACAGCAUGCUUCUUCUUCCUGAGUUCAAGUCAGACAUGCGUCUGCAUCUGUGUGCAGGAGUCAGGGGAAGUCAGGGUCAUUUGACUGAAGGAAACUUCGACUUCCUGGUGGCCAAACCACUUCCCCUCUCUUCUCUGAACACCCCACCUGCCCCACCCCCCAUGCAGUCCCCUUCCUCUAGGAAGGGCACCUUGAUUUGGCAGCACUUCACUUCUCUAACCCCUGGAGAAGGAAAUGGCAACCCACUCCAGUAUUCUUGCCUGGGAAAUCCCAUACACAGAGGAGCCUGAUGGGCUACAGUCCAUGGGGUCGCAAAGAGUCGGACAUGACUAAGCACGCAGCACAGCACUUCUCUAACAUAACCACAAACUCACUGUGCCUGAGCAGCCCCUGUGUCCUCAGCCAAGGCAGAACUGAAGGCACACAACUGCCAAUAAUCACGGUUAUUUUCUUGACCAGCAGGGUUGUAGUGGUGGGGAGUGGGUAGGUUGAAAGCCUUAUUGCUUCAAGUAUAUGUAUGGAUUCUGUACUGCUUUGCUUCUCAAAAUGCUGCCUAGAACACUAGUUCUUUGAGUUGAUGAAAGAUAGCCCCAAGGUUCUGUGGUCGUAUAAAUUCAAAGAAUAUUUCAUGCUCUCUCUGGAGAGAGUAGGGCAGUAAAGGCUCUGAGAAGGUCUGGAGUAAGGGAACCUUUCUAACAUUACUUACUCUCAGUUUCCCAAACACUUUUAAAAAGCUAAUAAAACCCUUACCUUCUUCCCUAACCCCUGCAAGUAGAAAUCCUCCUGUCCAAGGCAAUCAAGAGUAAGAGUUGGUUGGUCAAUCAUAAAAAGUCUGUUAAACCAGAGAGUGCUUUAAAAAUGACAUGCACUAUCUAAAAAAUUUUAAAUUAAAAAUUCACAAAUAUACAAACAUUUGUCAAUCUUCUAACAUGGACUCUAGGCUUUUUCUUUGUAUGCA
rnacentral:lncRNA from 1 species